rnacentral:sRNA from 1 species
AUGGAAGCAACGGACCGCUAGGACCUGUGGACACU